GAUACCCUAUUAUUUUAAACGUAAUUUUAUAAGCUAAAAUUAUUAUUAGUUAAGUUCUUUAAAAUUAAAAAUUUUGGCGGUAUUUUAGUCUUUUCAGAGGAACCUGUUUCUUAAUUGAUAGUCCACGAUUAAUUUUACUUUAAUUUUAAAUUUAUAUAUCGUCGUUUAUAAAGAUUUUAUUAGAAUUUAAAUUUUUAAUAUUUAUAAUUUUAUAUUAAUUCAGAUCAAGGUGUAGUUUAUAUUAAAGUUGUAAUGGGUUACAUUAAAUUUAUUUUUGGUUUUGAAAUUGAAAAUUUUAAAUAAAUUGGAUUUGAAAGUAAUUUUUAUAUUUUUAUAUAGUGAUUUAGCUCUAAAAUAUGUACACAUCGCC
rnacentral:rRNA from 1 species